AUUGAACGCUGGCGGCAUGCCUUACACAUGCAAGUCGAACGGCAGCACGGGGCAACCUGGUGGCGAGUGGCGAACGGGUGAGUAAUGCAUCGGAACGUGCCAUUGAGUGGGGGAUAACGUAGCGAAAGUUGCGCUAAUACCGCAUAUUCUGUGAGUAGGAAAGCAGGGGACCGCAAGGCCUUGCGCUCUUUGAGCGGCCGAUGUCAGAUUAGCUAGUUGGUGAGGUAACGGCUUACCAAGGCGACGAUCUGUAGCGGGUCUGAGAGGAUGAUCCGCCACACUGGAACUGAGACACGGUCCAGACUCCUACGGGAGGCAGCAGUGGGGAAUUUUGGACAAUGGGGGCAACCCUGAUCCAGCCAUGCCGCGUGAGUGAAGAAGGCC
rnacentral:rRNA from 1 species